rnacentral:rRNA from 3 species
GGGUUGUGAGGUUAAGCGACUAAGCGUACACGGUGGAUGCCCUGGCAGUCAGAGGCGAUGAAGGACGUGCUAAUCUGCGAUAAGCGUCGGUAAGGUGAUAUGAACCGUUAUAA